rnacentral:lncRNA from 1 species
UGUGCUUCUUGCAUAUGCGCAUCAAAUCAGAAACUGUUUGAUGAAUGGUAAUGUUCUAAACUCAAUAAAGCAUUAUUAAGGUCUACAAAAUAUGAUUAUUUGUAUUAUUCUAGAAGCUAGAAUGCUGAAGUAAAAGUAAAAUGACAUCCCUGAAACUCUUAAGGUCCUUUAGGUACACCUUUUAUGAAAAUAAAAAAAUAUUUAAAGCAUACAUACAGGUAGUUUUAAAAGUCUUGAUGAAUGUGAAAUUAAUCUUUUAAAGAUUCACCAAAUGAAAUAAAUUAAGAUCUGAAUGAAAGGGAAAUGUUUCAAAAGCAUUGAUUAAUCUUCCUAAUUUAAGAGGUAGUAGUGGUUUAAAGCCAUCUACUUUAACCACAGUCUACUCCCUUAAGGUGGUACCUAACACUACAGGGAGAUAACUCUGUAAACAUCAGCUUCUUAAGGUGGUACCUAACACUACAGGGAGAUAACUCUGUAAAAAUCAGAUUAACAUUUUUAUCACAUUGUAUUGUUAGAAAAAUAUUAAGUUUCUCAAUGAUCAAAAUUAGUGUUUGUCAAACUGCUAUAUAACCAAUGAAAUUUUUCUGAUAAAGUGGUUGGUUCAAAUUUUUUGAAAUUUUU